GGGACCCGUAGCCGCCGUCUCUGCCGGCGUCCGUAACCGGGAAACCCGGCGUCCGGCGCUGCAGGUUGUGGUCCGCGAUGUCUGGUGAGGAAGCCCGGCACAGGGCAGAGUCCUCCGAGGCCCGUGCGGCCGCGGUCAGCGACAUCCAGGAGCUGAUGCGACGCAAGGAGGAGAUCGAGGCGCAGAUUAAAGCUAAUUACGACGUCCUGGAGAGCCAAAAAGGAAUUGGGAUGAAUGAACCUCUGGUGGACUGCGAGGGCUAUCCCCGGGCAGAUGUGGACCUGUACCAGGUCCGAACAGCAAGGCACAACAUCAUCUGUCUACAGAAUGAUCACAAGGCAGUGAUGAAGCAGGUGGAGGAGGCCCUGCACCAGCUACACGCUCGGGACAAGGAGAAGCAGGCCCGGGACAUGGCUGAAGCCCGAGAAGAGGCCAUGAGCCGCAGUCUGGGCUCCAACAGCCCAGUCCUUCCCCAGGCCUUCGCCAAAGUGAACAGUAUCAGCCCUGGUUCCCCGGCCAGUAUUGCGGGCCUGCAAGUGGAUGAUGAAAUUGUGGAGUUCGGCUCUGUGAACACCCAAAACUUCCAGUCGCUGCAGAACGUGGGCAGCGUGGUGCAGCAUAGCGAGGGGAAGCCCCUGAAUGUGACGGUGAUCCGCAGAGGAGAGAAACAGCAGCUCAGACUGACUCCGAUGCGCUGGGCAGGAAAAGGACUGCUGGGCUGCAACAUUAUUCCUCUCCAGAGAUGACUGUCCCCAGGGACCUGCAAGAAAGCUGCCUUCAGCCGGGCCCUGCCCUUGGGCCUGUUACUCCCCCAGUUGGUACCAGUUUCUGUUUUGGAUGUCUGGCACACUCCGAGAGGAAGCUCGUGCUCUUGGAUUGGAUUGCUCAGGAUGGAGGCAGACAGCUUUCUCUGAGGGCAGUCAGUAUUGGUGUGUGCCUCCUGCCUUGAGUUCUGACACUCAAUUUGAAAGCCUCCCCAAACUGCUCCAGCCAGCCAGCCUCAUGUAUUCCUAUCCUGCAGCCAGACUGUGCUGUGUUUACCAGUGUUUAAUGUUUGAAUUGUAGGCUACAAUUCCAAGUAGUUUCCAGCCCCGUGAUAAGUCCCACACUAUAAUAAACACAGCUUGUGCCAUUCA